AUACGGAGGGGGCUAGCGUUGUUCGGAAUUACUGGGCGUAAAGCGCGUGUAGACGGAUCGUUAAGUCAGGGGUGAAAGCCCGGGGCUCAACCCCGGAACUGCCCUUGAUACUGGCGAUCUAGAGUCCGGAAGAGGUGGGCGGAAUUCCCGGUGUAGAGGUGAAAUUCGUAGAUAUCGGGAGGAACACCAGUGGCGAAGGCGGCUCACUGGUCCGGCACUGACGCUGAGACGCGAAAGCGUGGGGAGCAAACAGGAUUAGAUACCCUAGUAGUCC
rnacentral:rRNA from 1 species